rnacentral:rRNA from 1 species
CACGUAGGGGACGAGCGUUGUCCGGAUUCAUUGGGCGUAAAGCGCGUGUAGGCGGGCCGGCACGUCGGUGCUGAAAGCCCCCGGCUCAACCGGGGAACGGGCGCCGAUACGACCGGCCUGGAGGGGCGUAGGGGGACCGGGAACUUCCGGUGGAGCGGUGAAAUGCGUUGAGAUCGGAAGGAACGCCCGUGGCGAAAGCGCGGUCCUGGACGCCUACUGACGCUGAGACGCGAAAGCCAGGGGAGCGAACGGG